AACGCAUAUUGCGCUCGAGGCUUCGGCCAAGAGCAUGUCUGCCUCAGCGUCUGCGAUAAUCCUCACUCUCACAACUACUGUGGAAGUGGAACUGGCAGUCCUAGUAACUAAGGUUACUAGGUUUGCUGAAAAGUAGAGGCUUCAGCAUGGACCCAUUUAAGGGCAACAACUAGGUAGGUAGCUCUUCGGGCUGCAUGGAUCUUAGUUGGUGCCUUGGGCGUGCUAGAGGCCAUGCAGGAUCCGAACUCUGAACCACCAUAUUCACAGUUCGGAAUUACAAUUAGACCUGAGCUCAGGCAAGGCUACCCGCUGAACUUAA
rnacentral:misc_RNA from 1 species